GUCGAGAAUCUUUCACAAUGGGGGCAACCCUGAUGGAGCGACGCCGCGUGGAGGAUAAGGUCUUCGGAUUGUAAACUCCUGUCAUGCGUGAACAAGGUUGCUUGGUUAAUACCUGGGCAAAUUGAUGGUAACGCAAGAGGAAGAGACGGCUAACUCUGUGCCAGCAGCCGCGGUAAUACAGAGGUCUCAAGCGUUGUUCGGAAUCACUGGGCGUAAAGGGUGCGUAGGUGGCGUGGUAAGUCAGAUGUGAAAGCCCGGGGCUCAACCUCGGAACUGCAUCCGAUACUGCCAUGCUAGAGGACUGGAGAGGUGACUAGAAUUCUCGGUGUAGCAGUGAAAUGCGUAGAUCUCGAGAGGAAUACCAAAGGCGUAGGCAGGUCACUGGACAGUUACUGACACUGAGGCACGAAGGCCAGGGGAGCGAACGGGAUUAGAAACCCGGGUAGUCC
rnacentral:rRNA from 1 species